rnacentral:rRNA from 1 species
AUACGUAGGGGGCGAGCGUUGUCCGGAAUGACUGGGCGUAAAGGGCGUGUAGGCGGCGCUGUAAGUCUGGAGUGAAAGUCCCGUUUUCAAGGCGGGAACUGCUUUGGAUACUGCAGAGCUUGGGUGCGGAAGAGGGAAGGGGAAUCCCCAGGGUUGCGGUGAAAUGCGUAGAUAUUACUCAGAACACCGAUUGCGAAGGCAUCUCACGAAUCCGUCAUUGACGCUGAGGCACGAAAGCGUGGGGAUCAAACAGGAUUAGAUACCCUGGUAGUCCACGCAGUAAACGAUGAUGACUAACCGUCGGCGAUACACAGUCGGUGGCCAAGCGAAAGCGAUAAGUCAUCCACCUGGGGAGUACGUUCGCAAGAAUGAAACUCAAAGGAAUUGACGGGG